rnacentral:lncRNA from 1 species
CCAAGUCUCAAAUAUUGAAGAAUCUCUAACCAGGGACACCAGUCCCUACGAAGACCUUGGGCGAUUUUGAAGUGCGGGCACCUCGAUUCCCCGAAUCUGUAGUGUGGCUGGUAUCGGUGUUCCCCUGGUUUAACUAGCCUGUUUGAUGGGGAAAUUGAGGCAGAGAAGCCAAGACAUGUGCUAAAGGUCAUGCAGGCUAUGAAUGGAGCUGGAAUGUGAACGCAGGCCAUAUGACCCCAGAGCCCAUGUUCUUGAACCCUUAGAAAGACAGCAGCAACACACCUGGUGCAGCAGCUGCUUAGUUGGAGUGGCUGACAAGGUUGGCAGAGGAUCCCGUUCCUCCCGUGGAGUGGCUGCCAUGAUACUGCCUGCACUGAAGCUGCUCCUAUUUCUGAAAUAUGUAUUGUUAUUUUUUUCCCUGCAUGUUGAACAUUAUACUCUUCUGUUCUUUCGCA